UACAGAGGGUGCAAGCGUUAAUCGGAAUUACUGGGCGUAAAGCGUGCGUAGACGGUUACAUAAGUCGGGUGUGAAAGCCCCGGGCUCAACCUGGGAAUUGCAUUCGAGACUGCGUAGCUAGGGUGCGGAAGAGGGAAGCGGAAUUUCCGGUGUAGCGGUGAAACGCGUAGAUAUCGGAAGGAACACCAGUGGCGAAAGCGGCUCCUGGUCCAGCACCGGACGUUCAGGCACGAAAGCGUGGGGAGCAAACAGG
rnacentral:rRNA from 1 species